UGACAUCAAGCGAGAUUGAAUUAUUUAUUGAUAACUGUGUUAAAUUUUAUUAAAAAAAUUAUUUGAUAGUUGAUGUUAGUACUUAACCUUUCUAUUUUUAACAUUAAAAGAUAGAUUAAACUACAAAAUACUAUUCAGUGAUUGAUUUUUAAACAUGGAUAACCUCUCUAUUUGGAACGUUUCAGUAAUAAUUUGAUGAAAAGUAUGCCAG
rnacentral:lncRNA from 1 species